GAAGUGUGUGGUGAUCUGACUUACUAGUGAAGAGGAUGACGCCAGCUGCUGUGUCAAGAGCAGCACUCAAGGAACAAAUGUAGCAGAAGACCAGUUCCUAUACUACUGCCAUGAUCCACAAGAAAGCAAGAGUAGGGGCUUGGAGAAGGUGCUGGUGGUGGGGUUCUUGGAUGUAUUCACCAUCUAGGACCAAAAGUAUUUGCUGAAGUGUUGCAAACUUGUCAGAAGUUGAUGUGCAGCAGAGAGUAGCAACUCUGACAAUAAAAGGGGUGAAUAAAUUAUUAUCCUUUAACCUCAAUCUCAGUAUCAGAUGAAGAAGUUCCCCUGGGGUGAUGCUGGUGACCCUCACAUUUCCCGCCUUGCACUGAGCACAAUGUCGAAGGCUGACAAAGAUGAACGACUACAAUCAAUUCUAUAACUGCAAACUCAGACCUAUUAAAUAAAAGUUCAUUUCUGCUUCUCAAUCUUGGAGGCUAUUGUGGGCCUCACUAAAAAUCGACAAGUGAAAAAUUCUGAAAUAAAUGAGACUUAAUAACACAACUUAGAAACCAGUGCUCUUAUAAUCAAAUGGAUAACUUAAUUUAUUAUAUACCAUUAAAAUAUUUCAAAAUAGAAUCAAAUCAUGACACAAACCCAAAGUGAAAAAAGCAUUUUAUUUUCAUACAAAUUUUAUCACACAGUUUUAUUUGUCUUGGACAUUGCACAUCAAGUCCUCUUAUUCAUUUUUAUUUUAAUCAGACAAGAUUUUUCAGAACCUUGCCUACUUUUGAAACAACGUCAUUCAAAGUAGAUGUUAGUGGUCCAGUUUACACUUUAGAUCAUGUACAGACAAAAUAAGAAUGAACGUUGAACACAGGAUGUGGAAGGGGCGCAAGUUAGUGUCUACAUUUAGAACCUCCAGUAGUUCUUACAAACAUAAGCUUAAUUUUACAGUACAGGAGGGCUCAAAGAUCUGUACCAUUGCCACAUGGUGGGGCCUGUAUGCCCCUGUGAUGGCUGAAAGUUGAUCUUGUGCCUCAAUUACACAAUGAUUGGUUCCACCAUGUAAUGAGAAAAUCUCAACGGGCUACUAGUUAACUACCAAGCCUUGUUAUUUUCGGAGUAUCUUGCAUCUUUCCAGCAGUAGCUUAUUUAGGGGAGGCAGGUAGGAAAUGUCCUCCCACUUAGGAAGCUUCAGAACAUGUUACAGUAGGUAAUUAGGCAAACAUGAGCAGGGCAGAAGAGGGCCCCACACCAGUAUUGUCAGGAGACCAUCCAGUGAUGGUCAGGUGGUUGUUAAACUGUCUCUUUAAAAUAAUAAUUGGUUGUAGUUGGCACCAGGGAGAGGCAGUCUCCUAACAGAUAGAAAAGCCUGAAACUGGUGAUCAGCAGCUUCCUAAUAAUAUCUCAGGAGUUGGAUGAGUGGGCUCAAGCAUACACACUGAGAGGCAAAAAUGGUGGCAUCUGACUGCUAUACGAUCUUCCUCUAGGAACAUUCAGCUGGCAAGGGAAAAUGCCUCAAGUGAGUAUGUUCACAACUCCAGUAAUCACACUGCGCAUGCGGCCCCUCCCAAGUGCUGGCAGGUCACUGCACAUACUGACAGCCUACUGCAAUGAAAGAAUCAGGGGAGAAUGGACACAAGACCCCGGAAGGAUGCCAAUGUAUGAAACCCCAAGUCAAAGCAACCUAUGUACUUGGAUCUCUCAAGUUGCCCACUUGGCCCUCUUCCAAGUGUACCUUACUUCCUUUUGUUCCUGCUCUAAAACCUUUUAAUAAACUUUCACUCCUGCUUUAAAACUUGCUUCAGUCUCUCCCUCUACCUCAUGUUCCUUGGUCAAAUUCUUUCUUCUGAGGAGGCGAGAAUUGAGGUUGCUGUAGACGCGUGUAGAUUCACCAGUGCUAACAAACACAGUUUACUGAACUGUUGCAGGUUCCACCCUCACUUCCGUGAAAGCAACGUGAGCCAAUUGUGACCCAUCAUGUCAGUAGUUUCAGUGGUGGGAUUGCAUGAAAAACACAAUGGUGAAACUCAUUCCUUUUAAAUGACAGUUCUGUACAAGUGUUCCUUCCUACUGAGAUUCCCAUGACGUUCGUCUCCAGGGUUGCGUUAGCAUUUCUCCAAGGAAGCUUGUCCCAGCCCUUUGAGUAGGAGCUGCACUGCAGGGCUGGAAUGAUGGGUUGGAAGGUCGCUCUCACUAAUAUGAGCUAUGGUGACUUCGUGCAAGUGAAUUGUGAACAGUAAUUCAGCUGAACUAAAUGGGAGCACUCAGGAAAACUUAAGGCAAAGGGGAAAAAGGAGUUAGAGUAGACAUGAGACUCACAAAGCUUACGUGGGAUUUCUUGAGAAAGAGCCUCCUCAGGUACUCAGUUGAUGGCCCAUGGCAAGACUGAAAUUAUUGCCAAGUUCGCUAGUGAGUGGGAUUUAAGAUAAUAAAAACUCCACAUUGCUAAAAGCCAAAAAGCCAAACUUUGUGCCAUGUUUUAUGUCAGAAAAUGUGCUUAUAGAAUGCCACAUAGGCCAAAGUUCACACUUAUUUUUUUUUCUCAAUUUGAAAAGGAAGUGGGGGUUACAACAAUGUCUCACAUAUCCCACUGUGUAUUUACAGUGGAGUUAGUUUUUCCAAGCCAGAAAAACAAGACCCCUCAGCUGUCAGAUAUCAAACUGGAUCAACAUUACCGAUGCAUUAGUAGAUAAUUCUCCGUAUUAGUUCUCAUGUUUCUAUUACGUAUAACUUACUUUUUAACCACAGCUUUGCUUUAAACUAUAAUUAAAAAGUCAACUGAAUCUCUGUGAAAACAAAUGGCUCCUGAGAUUUUGAAACUACCAGAAACUACCAGAAAUUUAAACAGCCUCAGGAGACAGCACCUACAGGAAUAAUGACAAGCCUGUAGAUUGCAUACCGAAAAUUACUUAGUUGUUAACUAAUUUAUGACUUGGAAUUUUGAUAAUAACUUUCAGCCAGUAGGGUCAUUGUGAAGACUUUAAAACUGCUGUGCAAGUCAGAAUGUGACUCAGCCACAGAGAACUGAGACUUUUUCAAUCUGAGGGCAUGGUGGGAGGUGGGUCCUUCCUAACUACCUUGUGGGGGUACAGGAAGAAAGAGAAAGAUCCCCACAGAGGCUGACUGUGUUGGCCUAAGUGUGGGGAUUUCCACCAAGCACCCUAGUGAUGCCCAUGCUGCUGGCCUAAGGACCUUGCUGUGGGCACCACAGGACUUGGGACUUCACCCCUCAGAGUGGGAAGCUUCUCUUCCUCAUCUGGCCUGUGCUGGAACCCACGGUGAACGGCUUCUUGGAGCAGAAUGUGCAACUCUGACAGAGAGUAAAUUCUUCCUCAUGUUAAACUGAGGAUUGCGCAACCCCUGAUAUGGCAGUCUUGCUGAUACAACUUGCUGCAAAGAGACACCCACACUUUUCCCAGGGCUGAGAAGACAAGCAGUUGAUGAUCUAUAUUGUGGCUGUACUUGUGAACCUGGGAGCUGACAGGCAGGAUCACUGAACCCCUCCCUCAAAUCUGAGGAAGUCUAAGGGCUAUGAUCCCUGUGGUCAGCUGGCCGAGGCAUUCUCCCUAGAAACAGGCCUCUGCAUGGAUUCAAGUUCACUGAUUUGCUGAAGAGUUGUUAGGAUUCUGUCCAGGAGGGACAGACAUUCCACCCUCACUCUCAUCAACCCCCAAAACGUGUAGGUUUGGAUAAAUCCCAGGGAUCAUCCUCAAUUGGCUCAUUUAAAGAUAGAGAAGUCUGGGCACAGUGGUUCACGCCUGUAAUCCUAGCACUUUGGGAGGCCGAGGCAGGUGGAUCACAAGGUCAGGAGUUCGAGACCAGCCUGACUAACAUGGUGAAACCCCGUGUCUACUAAAAAUACAAAAAUUAGCUGGGCAUGGUGGCACGCACCUGUAACCCCAUCUACUCAGGAGGCUGAGGCAGGAGAAUCACUUGAACCUAGGAGAUGGAGGUUGCAGCAAGACGAGAUUGCGCCACUGCACUCCAGCCUGGGUGACACAGCGAGACUCUGUCUCAGAAAAAAAAAAAAAAAAAGAUGGGGAAGCAGAGGCUUUUGGAGAGGAAGAAACUCCCUUGGGAUUCACAUGUUGCGAUUGAGGUUGCACCAAGACCAGUGUCAAGCGUGUGGCACCUUUUCCUUCACAAUACACGACCUGAGACACUAAAGUUGACAGUAUAUUCUGGAUUCAGUUAGAUGCCUUUAGCUCAUCACAGAAACCUUAAAACAGUGCUUUUAAAAAUAAAUUACCAUGCAAGGAAAAACUGGAUUCUUGUAAAACAGUAAGUACUAUCUAUGUAUACAGGCUUAAGAAUAAAAACAGAUGUGUCAAGAAACGAAGUAAAUCACCCACAGUCUGAUCAUAGUAAGACAAUCCUGUCUUGUUGCAGACUAAAAGUUUGUGUCCCCCAAAACUCAUAUGUUGAAAUCGAGUCCCCCAUGUGAUCAUACUUGGAGGUGGGGCCUUUGGGAGGUAAUUAGGUCAUGAGAGUGGAGCCUCAUAAGUGGAUGAGUGCCCUUACGAAAAGAGGACCUGGAGCCAGCUCACUUUCUCACUGCCAUGUGGGGCACAAGAGGGGCUUCACCAGAAGCUGACCACGCUGGCACUCUGAUCUCAGACUUCCAGUCUCCGGAACUGCGAGAAAUAAAUGUUUGCUGUUUACCAGUCGGUGAUAAUUUUCCCAGCAGCUAGGGUUGACUGAGACAUGGCUGGAAAAGAGGCCAAGCAUCAUCAUGGCCAAACUUCUUCUCUUCUUAGAGCCAACACUUCCUCAGGGGGCACUUAACACCCCUGUCCCAUCACACUCCACUUACUGAAGCAAAUUCUCCCACCUGAUCACAUACAGACGGGCCAGCUCUGAGGAGACAUGCAAUCUCCUUGUGAAACUCAUCACUCUUGAAGCGUGAUAUGAAGCAAUGUCCUUAUAGUGCUCACCUAAAUGGAUAAAUGGCACCAGUCUUCUGAUGGGAAAAUCCACAGGAAAAGUUCAAGUCUUGACCCUAAUUACAGAAGAAAUGAGCUCACUGCAGUCAUGAAACUCUGAGUCUAGAAGUGUCAUUUCCACACCGAGCCAGGCAGUUUCUUUAUUCCCUGAACCAUAUGUUUAUUUCUUAGCUGAACUAUUCUGUGAGUGGUUGUCAAGAACUAAGAUUUGUUAAAUUUGUUUAUUUUUGCUUUUCUCUCAGCUCAAAAUUAGAAACAUAUGUUCAUCACCUCCACAUAUGAGUAGUUCAGCAUGAACUGUUUUUCUCAUUUUAUUCCGAGCAGAUUAGUCAAAAUAGUUCUCAUUUCAAUGUUGACCUGAAAAAAGUAAGACAUGCUUGACUUAUUUUAUUAAUUGUGUUUCCUUUAUAAACUAGCAAAUGAACUUAAUUAACUGAAAUAUGGCCGUGCAUCUCAGUGACAUAAUGAGCGAUACUUUCAGGUGAGAGAUGCUAAAGGCAUCAUUAAGCCUGUGGAAGCAACAUGAAGAGACACAUCAGAGGCAUCAAGUCCCAUAGUUCAUGUCUGAAGUAGAGACUGCUAAUGGAAUCUGGGACUUUUCAUCUCCAGUGUUC
rnacentral:lncRNA from 1 species